rnacentral:rRNA from 1 species
UACGUAGGGGGCAAGCGUUGUCCGGAAUCAUUGGGCGUAAAGCGCGUGUAGGCGGCUCGAUAAGUCCGCUCUGAAAGUCCGGGGCUCAACCCCGGGAGGCGGGUGGAUACUGUCGGGCUAGAGUCCGGAAGGGGCGAGUGGAAUUCCUGGUGUAGCGGUGAAAUGCGCAGAUAUCAGGAGGAACACCAAUGGCGAAGGCAGCUCGCUGGGACGGUACUGACGCUGAGACGCGAAAGCGUGGGGAGCAAACAGG